GUUUCAAAAGUGUUUGUCUCCCAACCCAUGAUGAUGAGCUAUAAUGCUUCUUUCUGAGAGCGAAUUGAAAACAGAACUGUGGCUUUGUUCACAAGUUCUGUGGUUGACGAGCGUUCAUAUUGUUUUUGGCAAUGUUGAAGAAAGGAGUAUGACCUGAGUAGU
rnacentral:snoRNA from 12 species